rnacentral:rRNA from 1 species
GACGAACGCUGGCGGCAUGCCUAAUACAUGCAAGUCGAGCGAACAGAUGAAGUGCUUGCACUUCUGACGUUAGCGGCGAACGGGUGAGUAACACGUAAGGAAUCUACCUAUAAGCGGGGGAUGACAUUCGGAAACGGGUGCUAAUACCGCAUAAUAUCUUCUUCCGCAUGGAAGAAGAUUGAAAGACGGCUCUGCUGCCACUUAUAGAUGACCUUGCGGUGCAUUAGUUAGUUGGUGGGGUAACGGCCUACCAAGACGAUGAUGCAUAGCCGACCUGAGAGGGUGAUCGGCCACAUUGGGACUGAGACACGGCCCAAACUCCUACGGGAGGCAGCAGUAGGGAAUCUUCCGCAAUGGGCGAAAGCCUGACGGAGCAAUGCCGCGUGAGUGAAGAAGGCCAUCGGGUCGUAAAACUCUGUUAUAAGAGAAGAACAAAUUGUAGAGUAACUGCUACAGUCUUGACGGUAUCUUAUCAGAAAGCCACGGCUAACUACGUGCCAGCCGCCGCAGUAA